UACGGGGGGGGCAAGCGUUGUUCGGAAUUACUGGGCGUAAAGGGCUCGUAGGCGGCCAACUAAGUCGGACGUGAAAUCCCCAGGCUCAACCUGGGAACUGCGUCCGAUACUGGAUGGCUUGAAUCCGGGAGAGGGAUGCAGAAUUCCAGGUGUAGCGGUGAAAUGCGUAGAUAUCUGGAGGAAUACCGGUGGCGAAGGCGGCAUCCUGGACCGGCAUUGACGCUGAGUGAGCGAAAGCGUGGGGAGCGAACAGG
rnacentral:rRNA from 1 species